GAUGAACGCUGGCGGCGUGCCUAAUACAUGCAAGUCGAGCGAAUGGAUUAAGAGCUUGCUCUUAUGAAGUUAGCGGCGGACGGGUGAGUAACACGUGAGUAACCUGCCCAUAAGACUGGGAUAACUCCGGGAAACCGGGGCUAAUACCGGAUAAUAUUUUGAACUGCAUGGUUCAAAAUUGAAAGGCGGCUUCGGCUGUCACUCAUGGAUGGACCCGCGUCGCAUUAGCUAGUUGGUGAGGUAACGGCUCACCAAGGCAACGAUGCGUAGCCGACCUGAGAGGGUGAUCGGCCACACUGGGACUGAGACACGGCCCAGACUCCUACGGGAGGCAGCAGUAGGGAAUCUUCCGCAAUGGACGAAAGUCUGACGGAGCAACGCCGCGUGAGUGAUGAAGGCUUUCGGGUCGUAAAACUCUGUUGUUAGGGAAGAACAAGUGCUAGUUGAAUAAGCUGGCACCUUGACGGUACCUAACCAGAAAGCCACGGCUAACUACGUGCCAGCCGCCGCCGAAA
rnacentral:rRNA from 1 species